UACGUAGGUGGCAAGCGUUUGUCCGGAUUUAUUGGGUUUAAAGGGUGCGUAGGCGGUCUAUUAAGUCAGUGGUGAAAUAUGGCAACUUAACUGUCAGGGUGCCAUUGAUAACUGAUGGACUUGAGUGAAGUCGAGGUUGGCGGAAUUGACGGUGUAGCGGUGAAAUGCUUAGAUAUCGUCAAGAACACCGAUAGUGAAGACAGCUAACAGACUUAUACUGACGCUGAGGCACGAAAGUGUGGGGAUCAAACAGG
rnacentral:rRNA from 1 species